ACAGUUAAAAGACAGAAAGAACAAGCAUGCAUGUUCUUACUGGUGAUUGUCUUUGAGUGAAGAAGGGAUUUCAGUGGUCCUCUUGAGAGGGAUGAGCAAGGAGUGGAGCUGGACCCCCAGUUGGCAUCCAUAACAGCCCAACAAGUGGCCAGGGAUCUGCUCUGCUAAGGCAGCUUUUUUCCAAGCUGACUGCUAAGGACUGGGUUUCUGGGGAGCAGAAGAGCUGCGCUCUCACCAAGUUUGCUGUGGAGAUGAGAUCAUAUGGAAGUGGCCAGCAGAAACAUAGAAGAGAGCAUGAGAUCUACUAUGCCCAGAAGGCCUCUGAAACCUCCGAAAUUUCUUCUCUCUGUAAGGCCAGCAAGUUCAUCCUUAAGAAGGCAGAGAAGAAUGCCCAGAUGGGAGAUAUACUCAGAAGUGACCAGUUUGGAUGUAAAGUGUAAUCAUUUAUGAUGAGAGGACAUGAUUUCCACCUAGGAUGCCAGUCUCUUACAGAAGGAACAAGAAGAUGGUUGAUGUACUGUGGACCACCUCUGAAUUCAGGACAUUCCACACACUCUAAUGACUUCUCUUUUUGAGGAAUAUUCCUAGCAUUGUGUCUGUUCACCCUGGUUAUGCUUCCUAACCGCUUUUCUUUCUGUCCUCACACACCCUUCUCCUAUCCCCUUCUCAGUAAAAUGCUGCAUAGGGAUGCAGAGCAGCUUGGCACUGGACUUUCAAUAUAUUUAAACACAAGCAAUUCACUGAGCUGGAAAAUUGUAAAUCUGCAAUUUUAUUUUAAAAAGUGGUCACACUGUUCUUUGAAGCCAUGUUUAGAGACAGCAGGAUAAUUAAUAGACCUUUGUGUGAUACAGAGGCAAAGGAUGACAAAUUUUAAUAAAACUGGUAGGAUUUGUUUUUUAAAUUUUAAGAAGCAAAUUUAUGUGCCUAGUUUUACUUACUGUUACAAGAAGAGAAAGGAUGUUAAAAACAUCCUGUGCAGGUUAAAGCACUGUCACACAACACCUUUUUCCUCUGAACUAACAUUAAGGGGGCAACAACAGGCACUGAGGCAUUAGUAAUGUCUGCUCAGUGCGUAUGCAGUGCCUGCCCUGCACCAUGUCUAGACACCUUCCUAGCAUUUCAUGUAACAGCAUUUCAAACCAAACCAGAGAGAGACCAGAGCUGUCAUCAUAGCUCAUUCCAGUUAUUAAGCACACCCUCACUUGAUGUGCUGCUCGGAAAGUGAAGCAAGACACACAACAAAAGUAAAAGACGUUUAAAGUGGCCAACAUAAAAGAUGAGGCAAGAGCCAACCAAAGUGAAAAAUAAAGGUGAACAUUUUCAAAGGUAGGAAAGGAGACUCUCACAUAGAGGGAGAGAAUAACUGAAAUGAAACAGAACUUGUCAUCAUCCUUUUUAAGAAAUGCAACUGGACUGACGUAGCUGUACUGAAUUAUGGAUGAUGUCGUGAAUUAUGUGUGCAAAGAACCACUACACAGAUGAGAUAGCACCAGUUUGGAGGAGAAAAAGACCACAGAGCUGUAUUUCCUGGCCACAAAAAUACAGAAGAAGUGAUGAGAGAAACAACAGCUUCUUGAGAGAAAUCCAUUUGAAUUAAGGACAGGGUAUGAAUUUACAGUGGAGUACAAGGAAAACCGUGAAUUAGCGAAGGCACUUUAGGAGGAAUAUGUCUUCCAGAAUAAGCCUUGAAGACAGGUAAGCCCUGUGGGAAACAAAGGACUCUGCAGAGAAAAUGGGCAGUAGGGCAGCUGUUGAGUAGUCUCUUGGUUGCUGACAGUUGCAUUUGUUAGAUUAUUCCAAUUUCAUAAUACUUAAAUUAAGUGGUUGGCUGGGACUUGCGCCUUCAACACUCCUGGAAGGAGCUCUGCUGAUUAAAGAGAAAUGAAAUAUC
rnacentral:lncRNA from 7 species